UACGUAGGGUGCAAGCGUUAAUCGGAAUUACUGGGCGUAAAGCGUGCGCAGGCGGUUUUGUAAGUCUGUCGUGAAAUCCCCGGGCUCAACCUGGGAAUUGCGAUGGAGACUGCAAGGCUAGAAUCUGGCAGAGGGGGGUAGAAUUCCGACGUGUGAGCAGUGAAAUGCGUAGAGAUGUGGAGGAACACCGAUGGCGAAGGCAGCCCCCUGGGUCAAGAUUGACGCUCAUGCACGAAAGCGUGGGGAG
rnacentral:rRNA from 1 species